UACAGAGGUGCCAAGCGUUGUUCGGAUUUAUUGGGCGUAAAGGGUGCGUAGGCGGUUGUGUAAGUCGGGUGUGAAAUUCCGGAGCCUAACUCCGGAACUGCAUUCGAAACUACACAGCUCGAGGUCUGGAGAGGUGACUGGAAUUCUCGGUGUAGCAGUGAAAUGCGUGGAUAUCGAUAGGAACACUCGUGGCGAAGGCGAGCUACUGGACAACAUCUGACGCUGAGGCUCGAAGGCCAGGGGAGCAAAAGGG
rnacentral:rRNA from 1 species